AUUGAACGCUGGCGGCAGGCCUAACACAUGCAAGUCGAGCGAGCGGCGGCCGGGUGAGUAAUGUAUGGGGACUGCCCGAUAGAGGGGGAUAACUACUGGAAACGGUCGCUAAUACCGCAUCCUAUCGGAUAACCCAUAUGGGAUUGGCUAGUAGGUGAGGUAAUGUCUUACCUAGGCGACGAUCCCUAGCUGGUCUGAGAGGAUGAUCAGCAACACUGGGCCGGAUAAAAGGCCCAGAGUCCUACGGAGGCAGCAGUGGGGAAUAUUGCACAAUGGGCGCAAGCCUGAUGCAGCCAUGCCGCGUGUAUGAAGAAGGCCCUAGGGUUGUAAAGUACUUUCAGUCGGGAGGCGUUACCGACAGAAGAAGCACCGGCUAACUCCGUGCCAGCAGCCGCGGUAAUGC
rnacentral:rRNA from 1 species